UACAGAGGUCUCAAGCGUUGUUCGGAUUCAUUGGGCGUAAAGGGUGCGUAGGCGGCGUGGUAAGUCGGAUGUGAAAUCUCGGAGCUUAACUCCGAAACUGCAUUCGAUACUGCGGUGCUUGAGGACUGGAGAGGAGACUGGAAUUCAUGGUGUAGCAGUGAAAUGCGUAGAGAUCGGCAGGAACACCCAGGGGGAAACCAGUCGACUGGGCAUCUACUGACGCUGAGGUGCGAGAGCGUGGGGAGCGAACCGGG
rnacentral:rRNA from 1 species